UAUUAACUUCCCAAUCCCUUCAGGUAAUUCUUUAAGAUUAAAACAAUCACUAAUAUCUAACUUUUCUAGAUUAUAUAACUCACACAAUGUCUCCGGUAGUACCAGCUUUUCUAUGUUUCUCGGAACCUCCGGAGUCAACAACCGCGUUGAGUGGUACGAUCCGCCAAAAUCUAAUGCCCUUAAACUUGUCAAUUCCCUAAAUAAUUCUUCUAGGAUCGCAGCAUUUAAUAAUGAAUGAUCGUUAAUUAAGAGGGUACGCAUUCUUUUAACUCUAAGAGUGGAAAUAGGUAAUGAAGCCGCUUUACUAAAUAUUAACAUUAAAUGACGGACCUUCUCAUCAAGAGCGUUUGUGGCGUUUGGUUCUUCACUACCAUUAAUUGCCAUCGAAAAACAUUCAUUUUGACUUACAAAGCGGGCAAAAUCAUGUACCAUAUCAUGCAUCUUGCACUCUAUAAUACGAUUAUCAUAACUUUUCUCAAACUCUUGAAAGAAAGAGCGAGAAGCUAAGAUGCCAAAAUACUCUUCACCUAUAGUCUCCAACUCCUCAUCUUGUUCUGCUGCUUCUGCACUAAGAUAACCUUGAGCCAUCCAUAAUGUGAUUAGUUCGUCUUUUUUUAUAUUGUAGUCUUUUGGAAAGACAGCACAAUAUGAAAAACAUCUUUUUACUCUAGAUGGCAAAUCAUUAUAACUCAACAAUAAAGAGGACAAAACAUCUUUCUCAAUCUCUUCUACUUUCCAUAAAUCACUAUUUAAAAUUCUUUUCCACUCUUCUUCAGUUUGUUUAGAACGCAUGAGACUCCCUAUUGUCUUUGCUGCAAGAGGUAAACCUUUGCACUUGCCUGCAAUUCUUUGCCCAAUUUGUUCUAAUUUUUCACGUUCCUCGAUGGACCGAUCAAAAAAUGCUAUCUUAUUUCGUAAAUGCUUCAUGUUUAUUAACUUCCCAAUCCCUUCAGGUAAUUCUUCUAGCUUAUAACAAUAACUAAUAUCUAACUUUUCUAGAUUAUACAACUCGCAUAAUGUCUCCGGUAGUUUCUUUAUUCCCUGAUAAGACAAAUUAAGGUAUCUUAAAUGUACCAGCUUUUCUAUGUUUCUCGGAAUCUCCAGAGUCGAAGACCAACUUGCGUUAUACGAUUUGCAAAAAUCUAAUGCCCUUAAACUUGUCAAUUCCCUAAAUAAUUCUUCUAGGAUCUCACCAUUUAAUAAUGAAUGAUCAGAUCUACUAUCGUUAAUUAAGAGGCUACGAAUUCUUUUAACUCUACAAGUGGAAACAGGUAAUGAAGCCUCUAUACUAAAGAUUAACAUUAAAUGACGGACCUUCUCAUCAAGAGAGUUUGUGGCGUUUGGUUCUUCACUACCAUUAAUUGCCAUCGAAAAACAUUCAUUUUGACUUACAAAUCGGGCAAAAUCAUGUACCAUAUCAUGCAUCUUACACUCUAUAAUCCGAUUAUCAUAACUUUUCUUAAACUCUUGAAAAAAUGAGCGAGAAGCUAAGAUGCCAAAAUACUCUUCACCUACUGUCUCCAUCUCUUCAUUUUGUUCUGCACUAAGAUAACCUUGAGCCAUCCAUAACGUGAUUAGUUUGUCUUUUUCUAUAUUGUAGUCUUUUGGAAAGACAGCACAAUAUGAAAAACAUCUUUUUACUCUAGAUGGCAAAUCAUUAUAACUCAACAAUAAAGAGGACAAAACAUCUUUCUCAAUCUCUUCUACUUUCCAUAAAUCACUAUUUAAAAUUCUUUUCCACUCUUCUUCAGUUUGUUUAGAACGCAUGAGACUCCCUAUUGUCUUUGCUGCAAGAGGUAAACCUUUGCACUUGCCUGCAAUUCUUUGCCCAAUUUGUUCUAAUUUUUCACGUUCCUCAAUAGGCCUACCAAAAAAUGCUAUCUUGUUAAACAACAACCAACAUUCCUCUUCAGCUAAUUCCUUAAUGGGAAUAAUAUCUAUGGAU
rnacentral:lncRNA from 1 species